AUGGCCCUGCCGGCUCCCCGCCCCGGCUGGGUUCCUCGCAAUGCUGCAGGCGUCCUCGGACCGCGCCCAGGCGUCCACUCCCAGGCCUACCCACUGAUGUACUCCGGCCCGACCCCGCCCUCCUUGCCGCCGCCGGGUUCUUCGUCGCUCUCGCUCAUCGCUCCUGGCUGGGAUCACGCCGCGCUGCUCCAUCAGGCCUACAUCCGGCACGGUCUACCCCAACAGAGUGCGGACUGGAUCCUCGACUCCGGCGCGGCCACACACGUUAACGCAGGCCCUUCAAACCAAGACUCCCCUCAUGAAGUCCAGUAG
rnacentral:rRNA from 1 species